rnacentral:rRNA from 1 species
GAUGAACGCUGGCGGCGUGCCUAAUACAUGCAAGUCGAACGAAACUUCUUUAUCACCGAGUGCUUGCACUCACCGAUAAAGAGUUGAGUGGCGAACGGGUGAGUAACACGUGGGCAACCUGCCCAAAAGAGGGGGAUAACACUUGGAAACAGGUGCUAAUACCGCAUAACCAUAGUUACCGCAUGGUAACUAUGUAAAAGGUGGCUAUACUACCGCCUUUGGAUGGGCCCGCGGCGCAUUAGCUAGUUGGUAGGGUAAAGGCUUACCAAGGCAAUGAUGCGUAGCCGAAUUGAGAGGUUGAUCGGCCACAUUGGGACUGAGACACGGCCCAAACUCCUACGGGAGGCAGCAGUAGGGAAUCUUCCACAAUGGGCGAAAGCCUGAUGGAGCAACGCCGCGUGGGUGAAGAAGGUCUUCGGAUCGUAAAACCCUGUUGUUAGAGAAGAAAGUGCGUGAGAGUAACUGUUCACGUUUCGACGGUAUCUAACCAGAAAGCCACGGCUAACUACGU